AAAAGUAGAAUUAAGACAUCCGGGAUAAAUGACUCAGCUGAGCUCAAUGAAGCCAAAACAUGUGCGUCCAGGCUUAAUUGGUUGCACAAAGACCAAGCCAGGAUGAGCAGACACGGAUUCAUUAACCAGGUGAAACCAAUCCUGGAUAGGUGCGCGCUCACGGCUCACUCAAAUAGACCCGCCACAGAUCACAGAUUAACUGAUUUACCAUGGCAACUAGAGCCGCGUACUUUUCCCCGUCGGAAGCACAAAUCCUCAUGGAGGCAUACGAGGAGGUAAAAUAUAUAAUUAAGAAGAAAGGCAACACCGCCACAGUGAUAAAGCAAAGAGAAAAAGUGUGGCAAAGUAUUGCAGACCGCCUGAAUGCGUAAGUAGUGCACAAUUACACACUCACCGCUCCGCUGAAACAUCACAAUUACAAUUCAAAUAUUUAAUUCACAUCUCCAAAAAUGCAGUUGUACUGUAAUUAUGAAACGGUUAAAUUUUUAAUUGAAAUGCACUGCAGAUAUGAGUGAAAUUGUGUAAAGUAACUCCAUCACACUGUAUAAAGCUAUGAUACAUUUUUUGAUAUUUUUACUGAAAACAAGACAAAAAUACCAAGUAAUUUUUGCAGUGUGACUCCAUUAAAUGUGUGUGUGUGUGUGUGUGUGUGUGUGUGUGUGUGUGUGUGUAGAGAUUAAACAUGAACGGGCCAAAACGGACAUGGCAGCAGGUCAAAAUCAAAUACAAGAACAUUCUGCAGAAUGCAGUGAAAAAGAAUACCCACAGACAAGGCACGGGUGGUGGGUCACCAAAGGCUGACCUUACCCCAGCAGAGGACAUGGCCUUGGAGCUAAAUAAAGGCAGGCCCGUCUUAGAGGGGAUCCCUGGGGGAAAGAGACGAGCAUAGGUUCCUCCCAAGAUGCCACCCGCUUCAUUCAAGUGCCUGGCAGCACUGUGUUCCUGUUAGAGCCACCAGCACAAGCACCAGACGAUGCUGAUCCAGGUGAAGGCCCCAGUGCAGCAGCAACAGCACAUGAUGGAGAUGAUGAUGAGGAGGAGACCAUCUCUCUGGAUUCCAGAAGGCAUGAGGACCCAGAUGCUAUACAGUGGGAAAACCAGCCUGGCAACAUAAGCUCACAAGCUAUCAGAAAGUUGUAUGGCAACCACCUUCCCAGCAAUCAGUACAACCAAGUCAUCGUUAUAAGGCAUCGCCCUCUUUUGCCCACCCCCCCAGCACCAGGUGUGGCCACUAGCCUAUAUGAAGGCCCAAAAUUGUGUGUUCCUUUCUGCUCUGACAAUGGCAUGCCCAUUCGUGCGAGAUGUGGUGGAUGAAGAAGCACUUGUGCUGAGGAGAGCCUUCAGGCGAGAAAGGGUCUUCAGGGACCGGUUGGACCCACUGGCCUUCCCUGAUGACCAUCUAUAUGAAAGAUACAGGUUUUCUGCAGAUGGCAUCAGGUAUCUAUGCAGACUACUGGGUCCCAGGAUUAAGCACCGCACUGCACGGAGCCAUGCACUGAGUGUGGAGCAAAUGGUUUGUGUGGCCUUGCGCUUUUUUGCUAGUGGAGCCUUCCUGUACUCAGUGGGGGAUGCAGAACAGCUGAACAAGGCCACAAUUUGCCGCACAAUAAGGAGUGUGUGUCUGGCUAUCAAAGCAUUAGCAGAUGUCUUCAUCUCCUUCCCUGGCCACAGAAGACUCUGUGACAUCAAAGAGGAGUUCUAUAGGAUUGCAGGUAAGAGGAUCUACAAAUUACAGGAC